rnacentral:rRNA from 1 species
GUUAUAGGGUCAAGCGAAUAAGUGCAUGUGGUGGAUGCCUUGGCGAUUACAGGCGAUGAAGGACGCGAUAGCCUGCGAAAAGUUGUGGGGAGCUGGCAAAUAAGCAUUGAUCCACAAAUGUCCGAAUGGGGAAACCCGGCCUUUUAGGUCAUCCUGGACUGAAUACAUAGGUCCAGCGAAGCGAACGCGGCGAACUGAAACAUCUAAGUAGCUGCAGGAAAAGAAAUCAACCGAGAUUCCCAAAGUAGUGGCGAGCGAAAUGGGACCAGCCUUCAAGAUUUAGCACCGGUGUUAUCAAAACGGAAUGGAAAGUCCGGCCAUAGUGGGUGAUAGCCCCGUAUGAGAAAACCCUGGUGUGGAACUAAGCUUGAGAAAAGUAGGGCGGGACACGUGAAAUCCUGUCUGAAGAUGGGGGGACCAUCCUCCAAGGCUAAAUACUCGUAAUCGACCGAUAGUGAACCAGUACCGUGAGGGAAAGGCGAAAAGAACCCCGGGAGGGGAGUGAAAUAGAUCCUGAAACCGCAUGCAUACAAACAGUCGGAGCCUCGAAAGGGGUGACGGCGUACCUUUUGUAUAAUGGGUCAGCGACUUACAUUCAGUGGCGAGCUUAACCGAAUAGGGAAGGCGUAGCGAAAGCGAGUCCGAAUAGGGCGUUCAGUCGCUGGGUGUAGACCCGAAACCAAGUGAUCUAUCCAUGGCCAGGUUGAAGGUGCGGUAACACGUACUGGAGGACCGAACCCACUAACGUUGAAAAGUUAGGGGAUGAGCUGUGGAUAGGGGUGAAAGGCUAAACAAACUUGGAAAUAGCUGGUUCUCUCCGAAAACUAUUUAGGUAGUGCCUCGUGUAUCACCUUCGGGGUAGAGCACUGUCAUGGUUGAGGGGUCCAUUGCGGAUUACCUCGCCAUAGCAAACUCCGAAUACCGAAGAGUGCAAUCACGGGAGACAGACAUCGGGUGCUAACGUCCGGUGUCAAGAGGGAAACAACCCAGACCGCCAGCUAAGGUCCCUAAAUAUUGCUAAGUGGGAAACGAAGUGGGAAGGCUAAAACAGUCAGGAGGUUGGCUUAGAAGCAGCCACCCUUUAAAGAAAGCGUAAUAGCUCACUGAUCGAGUCGUCCUGCGCGGAAGAUGUAACGGGGCUAAGCAAUAUACCGAAGCUGCGGAUGCGAGCUUGCUCGCAUGGUAGGAGAGCGUUCUGUAAGCCUGUGAAGGUGACUUGUAAAGGUUGCUGGAGGUAUCAGAAGUGCGAAUGCUGACAUGAGUAGCGAUAAAGGGGGUGAAAGGCCCCCUCGCCGUAAGCCCAAGGUUUCCUACGCAACGUUCAUCGGCGUAGGGUGAGUCGGCCCCUAAGGCGAGGCAGAGAUGCGUAGCUGAUGGGAAGCAGGUUAAUAUUCCUGCACCGUCGUAUGAUGCGAUGGGGGGACGGAUCGCGGAAGGUUGUCCGGGUGUUGGAAGUCCCGGUCCCUGCAGUGGAGAAGGCGCUUAGGCAAAUCCGGGCGCGUAAUUCAAGGCUGUGGGGCGAGCGAACUUGUUCGCGAAGCAAUUGGAAGUGGUUCCAAGAAAAGCCUCUAAGCUUCAGUCAUACGAGACCGUACCGCAAACCGACACAGGUGGGCGAGAUGAGUAUUCUAAGGCGCUUGAGAGAACUCGGGAGAAGGAACUCGGCAAAUUGGUACCGUAACUUCGGGAUAAGGUACGCCCUUGUAGCUUGACUGGCCUGCGCCAGGAGGGUGAAGGGGUUGCAAUAAACUGGUGGCUGCGACUGUUUAAUAAAAACACAGCACUCUGCAAACACGAAAGUGGACGUAUAGGGUGUGACGCCUGCCCGGUGCCGGAAGAUUAAAUGAUGGGGUGCAAGCUCUUGAUUGAAGUCCCGGUAAACGGCGGCCGUAACUAUAACGGUCCUAAGGUAGCGAAAUUCCUUGUCGGGUAAGUUCCGACCUGCACGAAUGGCGUAACGAUGGCCACACUGUCUCCUCCCGAGACUCAGCGAAGUUGAAGUGUUUGUGAUGAUGCAAUCUACCCGCGGCUAGACGGAAAGACCCCAUGAACCUUUACUGUAGCUUUGCAUUGGACUUUGAACCGGUCUGUGUAGGAUAGGUGGGAGGCUUUGAAGCAGGAACGCUAGUUUCUGUGGAGCCGUCCUUGAAAUACCACCCUGGCUUGUUUGAGGUUCUAACCUAGGUCCGUAAUCCGGAUCGGGGACAGUGCAUGGUAGGCAGUUUGACUGGGGCGGUCUCCUCCCAAAGUGUAACGGAGGAGUACGAAGGUACGCUAGGUACGGUCGGAAAUCGUGCUGAUAGUGCAAUGGCAAAAGCGUGCUUAACUGCGAGACUGACAAGUCGAGCAGGUGCGAAAGCAGGUCAUAGUGAUCCGGUGGUUCUGUAUGGAAGGGCCAUCGCUCAACGGAUAAAAGGUACUCUGGGGAUAACAGGCUGAUACCGCCCAAGAGUUCAUAUCGACGGCGGUGUUUGGCACCUCGAUGUCGGCUCAUCUCAUCCUGGGGCUGUAGCCGGUCCCAAGGGUAUGGCUGUUCGCCAUUUAAAGAGGUACGUGAGCUGGGUUUAAAACGUCGUGAGACAGUUUGGUCCCUAUCUGCCGUGGGCGUUGGAAGUUUGAAGGGGGCUGCUCCUAGUACGAGAGGACCGGAGUGGACGAACCUCUGGUGUACCGGUUGUCACGCCAGUGGCAUCGCCGGGUAGCUAUGUUCGGAAGAGAUAACCGCUGAAAGCAUCUAAGCGGGAAACUCGCCUUAAGAUGAGACUUCCCUGGGAACUCGAUUCCCCUUAAGGGUCGUUCAAGACCAGGACGUUGAUAGGUCAGGUGUGGAAGCGCAGUAAUGCGUUAAGCUAACUGAUACUAAUUGCCCGUGAGGCUUGAUCCUAUAACC